rnacentral:rRNA from 1 species
GGUCAAGUUAUUAAGGGUGCAGGGCGGAUGCCUUGGCACUAGGAGCCGAUGAAGGACGUGAUAAGCUGCGAUAAGCUUCGGGGAGUUGCACGUAAACUUUGAUCCGAAGAUUUCCGAAUGAGGAAACUCACUUAGAGUAAUGUCUAAGUAUCAUUAAGUGAAUACAUAGCUUAAUGAGGGGAACUCAGGGAACUGAAACAUCUAAGUACCUGAAGGAAGAGAAAGAAAUUCGAUUCCGUAAGUAGCGGCGAGCGAACGCGGAUUAGCCCAAACCAAUAAAGUUUUCUUUAUUGGGGUUGCGGACAUAUCAUAACGAAGAGGUAUCGUAAUUGAAGAGGUUUGGAAAGACCCACCACAGAAGGUAAUAGUCCUGUAUGUUAAACGAGAAGACUUUAGAUAUGAUCCAGAGUACCACGGGACACGUGAAACCCUGUGGGAAGCAGGAGGGACCACCCUCCAAGGCUAAAUACUACCUAGUGACCGAUAGCGUAUAGUACCGUGAGGGAAAGGUGAAAAGAACCCCGGGAGGGGAGUGAAAUAGAACCUGAAACCCUGCACUUACAAGCUGUGGAAGCACAUUUCUUGUGUGACCGCGUACUUUUUGUAGAACGGGCCAACGAGUUACGUUAAGUAGCAAGGUUAAGCACUUAAGGUGCGGAGCCGUAGCGAAAGCGAGUUUUAACUGAGCGUUCAGUUACUUGACGUAGACCCGAAACCGGGCGACCUACCCAUGAGCAGGAUGAAGCGAAAGUAAAAUUUCGUGGAGGUCCGAACCCACGAGCGUUGAAAAGCUCGGGGAUGACUUGUGGGUAGCGGUGAAAUUCCAAUCGAGCCCGGAGAUAGCUGGUUCUCCCCGAAAUAGCUUUAGGGCUAGCCUCAAGGUGAGAGAUACGGAGGUAGAGCACUGAAUGUCCUAGGGGGUAUUGCACCUACCGAAGACUAUCAAACUCCGAAUGCCGUCAUCUUAUACUUGGGAGUCAGACUGUGGGUGAUAAGAUUCAUAGUCGAAAGGGCAACAGCCCAGAUCGUCAGCUAAGGUCCCUAAAUGUAAGUUAAGUGGUAAAGGAUGUGGGAUUGCACAGACAACCAGGAUGUUGGCUUAGAAGCAGCCACUCAUUCAAAGAGUGCGUAAUAGCUCACUGGUCGAGUGAUCCUGCGCCGAAGAUUUCCGGGGCUAAAACUUACUACCGAAGCUACGGCAUCAGUAAUGAUGGGUAGGGGAGCUUCCCAUAUGGGUUGAAGCAUGACCGUAAGGACAUGUGGACAGUAUGGGAGUGAGAAUGUUGGCAUGAGUAGCGAGAUGUGGGUGAGAAUCCCACAGGCCGUAAACCCAAGGUUUCCAGGGGAAGGUUCGUCCGCCCUGGGUUAGUCGGGACCUAAGCUGAGGCCGAAAGGCGUAGGUGAUGGACAACAGGUUGAUAUUCCUGUACUACCGAUAACCGUUUGAGAGAAGGGAUGACACAGUAGGAUAAGCUAAGCACACUGUUGGUUAUGUGUGCCCAAGCAUUGAGGCAGUCAAAGUAGGCAAAUCCGCUUUGAUAAUGCUGGGAUGUGAUGGGGAGCGAAAUUUAGUAGCGAAGUAGCUGAUUUCACACUGUCAAGAAAAGUCUCUAUCGAGGUUAAAGGUACCCGUACCGCAAACCGACACAGGUG